rnacentral:tRNA from 1 species
GAGAGAUGGCCGAGUUGGUCGAAGGCGCAUGAUUGGAAAUCAUGUAUAGGAGUAAUCCUAUCAGGGGUUCGAAUCCCCUUCUCUCC